rnacentral:ncRNA from 1 species
UCCGAUUUGGACUCAAGAUGCUUUGGAUCGGACUACGUAUUUCUAAGCUGGCGAUCAAGGGAUUCCAUGAGCCAGCAAGUGAACCCAGCACUGAUGAAUGUUGUAAUAGUCACCCCGUUCCAGCGGCCUAGACGGGGGGUAGAGCGAAUGUUAAUAGUCAGUGUUGCCAACGCUUUGGAGGACGGUUUUAAACCGCUAAAGUUGGGCGUAGGG